GGAAUGUGGUUGUGGAUCAAGUCAAAGUAGGAAUUAGUUUGGAUUUCAAAUUCUAUGAGAUAGAAUUUUAGGAAACCAAAACUCUUUCCUUAUGGCUCUGAUUUUACCCAGAUUUUUUUUGAUAUUUUUAUGACUUUUAUGGCACAUAUUGUGUGCUCUUUGCUGGUGGUUCAAGAUAAAAAAAAGAGAGAGGGUGCCCAUG
rnacentral:lncRNA from 1 species